UGGGGAAUAUUGCACAAUGGGGGAAACCCUGAUGCAGCGACGCCGCGUGAAGGAAGAAGUAUCUCGGUAUGUAAACUUCUAUCAGCAGGGAAGACAAUGACGGUACCUGACUAAGAAGCCCCGGCUAACUACGNGCC
rnacentral:rRNA from 1 species